rnacentral:rRNA from 1 species
UGGGGAAUUUUGGACAAUGGGCGAAAGCCUGAUCCAGCAAUGCCGCGUGUGUGAAGAAGGCCUUCGGGUUGUAAAGCACUUUUGUCCGGAAAGAAAUCCUUGGCUCUAAUACGUCGGGGGAUGACGGUACCGGAAGAAUAAGCACCGGCUAACUACGUGCCAGCAGCCGCGGUAAUACGUAGGGUGCAAGCGUUAAUCGGAAUUACUGGGCGUAAAGCGUGCGCAGGCGGUUUGCUAAGACCGAUGUGAAGUCCCCGGGCUCAACCUGGGAACUGCAUUGGUGACUGGCAGGCUAGAGUAUGGCAGAGGGGGGUGAGAAUUCCACGUGUAGCAGUGAAAUGCGUAGAGAUGUGGAGGAAUACCGAUGGCGAAGGCAG